rnacentral:rRNA from 1 species
CAAUAGCGUAUAUUAAAGUUGUUGCAGUUAAAAAGCUCGUAGUUGGAUUUCUGGUGGGAGCGAUCGGUCUGGCGCUUAGCGCGAGUACUUGCAUCGUCUCCGGCCAUCCUUGGGGAGAGUCUGUCUGGCAUUAAGUUGUCGGGCAGAGGAUCCUCAUCGUUUACUGUGAAAAAAUUAGAGUGUUCAAAGCAGGCUUAUGCCGUUGAAUAUAUUAGCAUGGAAUAAUAAGAUAGGACUUUGGUACUAUUUUGUUGGUUUGCGCACCAAAGUAAUGAUUAAUAGGGACAGUUGGGGGUAUUCGUAGUCCGUUGUCAGAGGUGAAAUUCUUGGAUUUACGGAAGACGAACUACUGCGAAAGCAUUUACCAAGGAUGUUUUCAUUGA